CUCUGAGGGCUCUGACACCGUCAUCCCCUGGCAGCUUAGGCAAAGCCCAGGGCCCCGGUGGGGCACACCCGAGCCAGCCCCAAACAGACUGAACAUCUAUGGGACCAGGAAAGGCAAGUGGCCCAGAGUCUCCGCAGAACCAGAGGGGUCCUGCUGCUCCGCCCACCCUCUCUCUGAAUUCCACUUUACAGAUGAGGAAACUGAGGCUCAGAGGUGCGCAGCCACAAAGCUUGAAGGUGGUGGAACCGGGAUUCGAAUUGGGUCUGAAUGACUGCAGAGGCCACCUCCCCAGAGGCCACUUGUAAAUACUGUCCACAGAAGAAGCUCAUUCUACAGUGUCAGGGAAUGCUGCUUCCCCCCAAAGAAGUGCUGCUUAGAACACCAACAUACCAAAGAGAUGAAAACGGAGCUCCCCUGAUUGGAGAAGAAGGGGGUGGUCUGGGACCCGCCCCAUGCACACCCACGUGGGCUCUGUGUCCCCCUGGGCAACCCCAGGCUCCUCGGAACCCACUGAGGGCCAGCAGGAAGCAGGACCAUGAAGUCACUUGCCUGGGUCACAGAGCUAAUAACGGACAUGGCAGGCCUGGGAUACACGUGUCUUGAGCACCCAGGUGUCUGCUCCUUACCACUAGGCCACCACCGGAGAUGUGACCCCUUCUCCUAGCA